rnacentral:rRNA from 1 species
CCCUUAGAUGUCCUGGGCCGCACGCGCGCUACACUGAUGCAUUCAACGAGCUUUACCUUGGCCGAGAGGCCUGGGCAAUCUUUUAAACCUGCAUCGUGAUAGGGAUAGAUUAUUGCAAUUAUUAAUCUUGAACGAGGAAUUCCUAGUAAACGCAGAUCAUCAAUCUGCAUUGAUUACGUCCCUGCCCUUUGUACACACCGCCCGUCGCGCCUACCGAUUGAAUGGUCCGGUGAAGUCUCGGGAUUGUGGCCAGUUCACUUUAUUGGGAGUUGGCUGCGAGAACUUGUCUAAACCUUAUCAUUUAGAGGAAGGUGAAGUCGUAACA